ACGGAGGGUGCAAGCGUUAUCCGGAUUUAUUGGGUUUAAAGGGUCCGUAGGCGGAUCUGUAAGUCAGUGGUGAAAUCUCACAGCUUAACUGUGAAACUGCCAUUGAUACUGCAGGUCUUGAGUAAGGUAGAAGUGGCUGGAAUAAGUAGUGUAGCGGUGAAAUGCAUAGAUAUUACUUAGAACACCAAUUGCGAAGGCAGGUCACUAUGUCUUAACUGACGCUGAUGGACGAAAGCGUGGGGAGCGAACAGGA
rnacentral:rRNA from 1 species